rnacentral:rRNA from 1 species
CCAAUAGCGUAUAUUAAAGUUGUUGCAGUUAAAAAGCUCGUAGUUGAAUUUUGGAUUCUUCCAAUUGGUCCAUCUUUUAGAUGAGUACUGGUUGUGUGGGGUCUAUCCGCCUGGUGAUACGUAAUGUCCUUUAUUGGAUGUUGCGGGUAGUCAGGACCUUUACCUUGAAAAAAUUAGAGUGUUUAAAGCAGGCUGAUGCCGGAAUACAUUAGCAUGGAAUAAUAGAAUAGGACGAAGUUGUUUUAUUUUGUUGGUUUCUAGGACAACCGUAAUGAUUAAUAGGGAUAGUUGGGGGCAUUAGUAUUCAAUUGUCAGAGGUGAAAUUCUUGGAUUUAUUGAAGACUAACUACUGCGAAAGCAUUUGCCAAGGAUGUUUUCAUUAAUCAAGAACGAAAGUUAGGGGAUCGAAGACGAUCAGAUACCGUCGUAGUCUUAACCAUAAACUAUGCCGACUAGGGAUCGGGCGAUGUUGUUUCCAUGACUCGCUCGGCACCUUAUG